rnacentral:tRNA from 1 species
UGGGAUGUAGCUUAGUUGGUAAAGUGCCUACUUAUUAUGCAUGAGGCCCUGGGUUCAAUUUUCAGUACCUCAU